AAGCCCGGUAACGGGUGGAGCUGACUGGUACUAAUAGGCCGAGGGCUUGUCCUCAGUUG
rnacentral:rRNA from 1 species